CCCGCGGAGGCAGGUAGAAGAUUCUGAGGCCCUGGGCGGGAACUAGUAAGCCACAAUCUGGAAGAGUCUUUUACCACCAUGUGGAGGAGAACUAGAGCACUCAUGUUGAACUAUUACCGAGAAAAGUAAUCAACUUCUUUUGUGUUAAGUCACUGAAAGGUGGUGAUAACUUCUGGAAACACCAAGGACUAAAAAGGAAGGAAACUGCAGAAAGUGGGGGGCCACAGAAGCAGCAGCUCGCAGUCAUGUUCCAAGACUAGCAAUCCAUAAACAUUGCUUGCCCUGGGGGGGGGAAAAUAAAGAUUUCGCCAAUACUGCAUCUCUUCGAUUUUUACCCAUUUCCUUUACUUGGUCCUAUUUUUACUUGGUCAAAGAAACACGUGUAUCAUAUACUCAGAAUUUCCCCUUAAUUAUAAGUUUUUUACAAAAAGUCAAUAAAAGACAAAAUGGGAAGUGUUGAAGCACUGUCCAGAAACUAUAGUAAUAGCAAUAUAAAAAGAAGGGUAGUGAACUGACCUUAGCAAAUUUGCUCUGCCACUAAUUUGCUAGUCAAGUGACCCUAUUUUCCUGACUCUGUUUCUUUAGUAAAAUGUGGAUGUUAUCAUAGGUGACCGCAGAUCCUGAAGUUCCUUUGUGUGUGGGGGGGGGAGGGUGGGUGAGAUUUAAAAAUUUGAUUCAAAUAAAUUUCCAUUCGCU
rnacentral:lncRNA from 1 species